rnacentral:rRNA from 1 species
AUUGAACGCUGGCGGCAUGCCUAACACAUGCAAGUCGAGCGGAUGAAGGGAGCUUUCUCCUGGAUUCCGCUGCGGACGGGUGAGUAAUGCCUAGGAAUCUGCCUUGUAGUGGGGGAUAACGUCCGGUAACGGGCGCUAAUACCGCAUACGUCCUGAUGUAGAAAGUGGAGGAUCUUUGGACCUCACGCUAUCAGAUGAGCCUAGGUCGUAUUAGCUAGUUGGUUGGGUAAAGGCUUACCAAGGCGACGAUCCGUAACUGGUCUGAGAGGAUGAUCAGUCACACUGGAACUGAGACACGGUCCAGACUCCUACGGGAGGCAGCAGUGGGGAAUAUUGGACAAUGGGCGAAAGCCUGAUCCAGCCAUGCCGCGUGUGUGAAGAAGGUCUUCGGAUUGUAAAGCACUUUAAGUUGGGAGGAAGGGCAGUAAGUUAAUACCUUGCUGUUUUGACGUUACCAACAGAAUAAGCACCGGCUAACUUCGUG